rnacentral:rRNA from 1 species
CGGAGGGUGCAAGCGUUAUCCGGAUUCACUGGGUUUAAAGGGUGCGUAGGUGGGUUGGUAAGUCAGUGGUGAAAUCUCCGAGCUUAACUUGGAAACUGCCAUUGAUACUAUCAGUCUUGAAUGUUGUGGAGGUUAGCGGAAUAUGUCAUGUAGCGGUGAAAUGCUUAGAUAUGACAUAGAACACCAAUUGCGAAGGCAGCUGGCUACGCAUAUAUUGACACUGAGGCACGAAAGCGUGGGGAUCAAACAGGAUUAGAUACCCUGGUAGUCCACGCCCUAAACUAUGGAUACUCGACAUACGCGAUACACUGUGUGUGUCUGAGCGAAAGCAUUAAGUAUCCCACCUGGGAAGUACGAUCGCAAGAUUG